GACGAACGCUGGCGGCGUGCUUAACACAUGCAAGUCGAACGGAAAGGCCUGCUUUCCCUUGUGGAUUGCGGGUACUCGAGUGGCGAACGGGUGAGUAACACGUGAGUGAUCUGCCCCCAACUUGGGUAUAAGCCUGGGAAACUGGGUCUAAUUCCCGAUAGGACUGCAGGGUGGUGCCUGUGGUGGAAAACGAUUUUCUAGUGGUUGGGGAUGAGCUCGCGGCCUAUCAGCUUGUUGGUGGGGUAAUGGCCUACCAAGGCGGCGACGGGUAGCCGGCCUGUGAGGGUGGACGGCCACAUUGGGACUGGGAUACGACCCAGACUCCUGCCGGAGGCAGGAGUGGGGAAUAUUGCAGAAUGGGCGGAAGCCUGAUGCAGCGAGGCCGCGUGGGGGAUGACGGCCUUCGGGUUGUAAACUCCUUUCGACCGCGAGGAAGCCACCUGGUUGGAAGGGUGGUGACGGUAGUGGUAGAAGAAGCACCGGCUAACUACGUG
rnacentral:rRNA from 1 species